AACGUAGGUUCCGAGCGUUAUCCGGAUUUACUGGGCGGUAAAGCGCGUUCAGGUCGGUUGGGCAAGUCGGGACAUGAAAGUCUCCUGGGCUCAACCUGGAGAGGGUUGUCCGAUACUGCCGAACUGGAGGGCAGUAGAGGGUGGUGGAAUUCCGGGUGUAGUGGUGAAAUGCGUAGAGAUCCGGAGGAACACCAGUGGCGAAAGCGGCCACCUGGACUGCACCCUGACGCUGAAA
rnacentral:rRNA from 1 species